GGCAGACUCCUGUGCUAACAGGUUAGAUGGAGGUUUCCAAUGGUGCCUGCCAGCAUGUCUGUGAGCAUGGCUGAAUUAGAUCACAAUAAUGGCUGCUGCCAAUGUCACAGUUCCUGGGGGCCCACCCACCUCCUGCCUCCCCAGGGUAUGUUCCUAGCUUAGUAAGUGAGUCUCUUUUAUCAAUGAACUAUGCAUUUUUCUAUCUGAUGUCUUUGUGCUGGUUUCCAGUCUGUGUUGUCUCGUGUGGUGGCGGUGCUUUUUAUCCUGUUUCCAGAUCUCUCCCAGAGGAAAUUGUUCCAGAGGUAGUUGUAAUUUUGCUGUGUCCAUAGGAGGAGGAUCAUUUAAGAAAAUGAACUCAUAAUAACAUAUGGUAGCUGACUUCAGUAUGGAUUUUCCACUGCAUUGAUCAACUCAGUGAAAUUCUCUUACAUAAAUACAAAUGUUCACAAGACAAAGAUAUCCGUCCAGCAUGGAUGUUGUUCAGAAAGAGGAAAGGAAAAUCCUGCUUUCCACUUGGUGUCGGCUGUAUGCACUUCUCUCAGUCCUCUUGGACGCCGUUGGAUCGCAAUCCAUAGCAUAUUUUACAAAUGAAGAGCAUACGUAAAGAGAGAAGUCUAACAGAUGGCUCCGGGAAAUGCGUAAUAAAUGAAAAGAAACAACAGUGCGCCUUACUAAAACUGAGCAAAGCAGCCUUGGAGGGUGUUGCUGUUUGCCGCAGUCUGAGGACCUGAAGCACAGCUCUUUGCAGCAGACGGAUGGAGUGAUAAAUGGCUGAGCAAAUGCAAAGGCCAUGGGAGAAAUACUCUGAACGUUCUCAUGAGAUAUAUUGUAUUUUAGUUUUUUAGACCUUUCUUAAGUCUAAGGAAUGAAAAAUAUAAUACGCCACAGUCACCAACACAUUUAAAAGACAAGAAAUCGUGUCUAACAAAACAAUUUUUAAAAUGCUGUAGAUCCUUUUGAAGGAAACAGCACUGAACCCAGUUGAAGGUGAAGAUGAUAGAUGUAUGACAUUAGAUUUUUGGCAUUGAAAUUAAGGAAUACAAUAAAAUCAAUAUUGAGAAAUGAUAAGAAAGCAAAGGACAGACAAAGGCCAGAACCUCCUAAACAAUUUUCGUCAAAGCCAUAAUU
rnacentral:lncRNA from 1 species